CCGUUACUCGGCCUGUCGUGGGCAUGCGCAUGCGUGGCAGGGGAGGUCCAGGAACACAGUGUGGGGAGCCCCCGGGUGGACGCCGGGUCCUUUGCGGACGCUGUGCCGUUGUGAGGAUGCUUGGAGGUGCCGCCGCGGGGUCUCGGGGAGCCCGGCCUUCCAUACCAAUCUAUCACUAGCUGGAGCUGUCCCUUCCCAGCUGGUCAGGGACCCCUGGGUGACGGCCAGCUUCCCGUUAGAAUCACCUCGAGGGAGCAGGAGCUAGACUAGGCCUUAGAAAUGACGUAAGAAGCCGCAGGCGACUCCGUGUGCAAUGCUGGGAGAGCUGUGGUUUAUCCAUGGGUUUUCCCUGCUCUGUGGCUGGGUCUGAGGGCUGCACCUCGCCCCACCCUUAGGAUCCAGUCCUGCCACACUUGCUUUUGGAGUUGGAUGCAGAAGCGUGACCCUUGCUCUCAGCCUCGUGGAAGGCCCAGGAAAAUGAAAUCCAAGGUUAGUCACUUCAGAGUACUGUGAAAGAAAAAUUCAUGAUAACAGUUUUCAUUCUAUGUGGAAGAAGUGAUUAAUGGGUUCUUUAUAAUAAGAAUCGUGCUUCAUGGAAUAAAUCAUCUUGAAUUCUUAAGGCAAGAUGAUGUCAGAAUCACAAGCAAAGGAAUAACGGCUGAAAGUGCUCAAACCCAAGGAUCAGCAAGUCCAAUUUUAAAAACUUUCCACGCUUUAUUAAAGCUACACAUGUCCAGCUCCA